UACGUAGGGUGCAAGCGUUGUCCGGAAUUAUUGGGCGUAAAGAGCUCGUAGGCGGUUUGUCGCGUCUGCUGUGAAAACUCGGAGCUUAACUCCGGGCCUGCAGUGGGUACGGGCAGACUAGAGUGUGGUAGGGGAGACUGGAAUUCCUGGUGUAGCGGUGAAAUGCGCAGAUAUCAGGAGGAACACCGGUGGCGAAGGCGGGUCUCUGGGCAGUGAACUGACACUGGAGGGACGAAAGCUAGGGGAGCGAAUGGG
rnacentral:rRNA from 1 species